UACAGAGGUCUCAAGCGUUGUUCGGAAUUACUGGGCGUAAAGGGUGCGCAGGCCGCGCGGGCAGUCAAAUGUGUAAUUCAGGGGCUCAACCCCUGCACUGCGCUUGAUACUUCCGCGCUCGAGCUUUGGAGAGGAGUCUGGAAUUCUUGGUGUAGCAGUGAAAUGCGUGGAUAUCGAGAAGAACACUUAGGGCGUAGGCAAGACUCUGGACAAAUGCUGACGCUCAUGCACGAAGGCUAGGGUAGCGAACGGG
rnacentral:rRNA from 1 species